UACAGAGGUGGCAAGCGUUGUUCGGAAUUACUGGGCGUAAAGGGCUCGUAGGUGGCCAACUAAGUCAGACGUGAAAUCCCUCAGCUUAACUGGGGAACUGCGUCUGAUACUGGAUGGCUUGAGUUUGGGAGAGGGAUGCGGAAUUCCAGGUGUAGCGGUGAAAUGCGUAGAUAUCUGGAGGAACACCGGUGGCGAAGGCGGCAUCCUGGACCAACACUGACGCUGAGUGAGCGAAAGCCAGGGGAGCAAACGGG
rnacentral:rRNA from 1 species